GAAGACAUAAUGUCUACAGUGUGUUUGAUAGUUGACAUGAGACGGGAUUUCUUUUCACUGUUGUGUCAGCAUAUCAAACUCACACCCGGACAUC
rnacentral:pre_miRNA from 1 species